UUUUCGUCUUCUCUCAGCUACACAGAAAAAAUAGCUGCACUUUGUAAACUAAAUGCCCUUGCUUGCUCUGCUGAGACGUGUAGAAGUCAUCUACUGACUGUGAAAGUUCCUUAACCUGGUGGUGAGUCAUCCAUCACUGAAUGCUGGAUCCAAUUAGUGAAGUCAGGAUUGUUUUCCCAAUGUCCUCUAAGUAGUUAAAAGAACCUUGAAGAAAAACUGAGUACUUUAAGCACUUUGGAGAUCACACUGGGGGGCCAAAAGGAGGAAUAGCAAUUGAUACAAUGAAACCAUUGAAAAAGACAUGAUAUUCUGGAUUUUGGAAUGUACUUGUCUCAAGUACAAAGAUGAAGCAAACAGUCCAGCAUACAAAUAGUUAAUUUUCCUCCAGGUGAGGACCAGACACUUCAAGUGUGUUUAGAGCAUCAAUGGUUUUUUAAACACAGAAGAUUUAAUUUCUUUUUUUAAUACAACCUUAUUUCUCUUUCAUCUUGCUUCUAGAGACCUCCAUUGGUUAUUGAAGACAGAUCAAAAUUAGAAAUUUUCACUUCACAGGAAAUAAACCAUUUCUGCAUGGCAUU